GCCACAAGUUGUUCUUAGUGCAGUGAGGGACAGGUACAUGGAAACCACUGACUUGCCACAAGGCGAAGUGAAACAAGCACAAAAUGAAGAUUUGGGUAACACGAUUUAAGAAAACAGAGGAGAGUGGUCUCGAAACCAGCCAGUUUGUGCCAAGUCAGAGUCAUCAGUUACCCUGGAGAACAGCAGGAAAAAGAUCCUUGCUGAUGCACCCCAUCCUGGGCUCCCCUCAUGAUCCUCUUCUCUUCCGAGCAAGUCUUCCAGCCAUGGUUCUCCAGCCAAUGCUGUUCACCCCGGAAGUUAUCAUGGUUGGAGCCCACUCUGCCACAGUCUUACCAAAUGACCUUGGGUCUAAGAGACAAAAAAAUUCAGACAAAUCUCAGUAGAGAGGCAUCCUAUAAUAUGCCUGACUAGUACUCCUCAAAACCGUCAAGGCUGUUAAAAACAAGGAAAGUCUGAGGCACCGUCACAGCCAAGAGGAGCCUAAGGAGACACGACAGCAAAACGUAACACGAUGUCCUGGAUGGGAUCCUGGAACAGCAA